AGCAGUCGCCGCGGUAAUACGGAGGGAGCUAGCGUUGUUCGGAAUCACUGGGCGUAAAGCGCACGUAGGCGGCUAUUCAAGUCAGGGGUGAAAGCCCGGGGCUCAACCCCGGAACUGCCUUUGAAACUAGAUAGCUUGAAUCUUGGAGAGGCGAGUGGAAUUCCGAGUGUAGAGGUGAAAUUCGUAGAUAUUCGGAAGAACACCAGUGGCGAAGGCGACUCGCUGGACAAGUAUUGACGCUGAGGUGCGAAAGCGUGGGGAGCAAACAGGAUUAGAUACCCGCGUAGUCCCUGUCUCUUAUAC
rnacentral:rRNA from 1 species